CACAGAUUUUCAUGAUGGAACAGCCGAUUUUCAUCUGUUUCACUCCUGUAGGGAGGUUGGUGUGGGAGGAACUGACUUCUCAAACUGAACAGCCAAAUAGUGAAGACUCUGGUUUUCCCUUUGAGAAGAUGCAGCUGGUUGGGAACUGGGGUUCGUUUCAUUUCCAUACCUGGAUAAUCCGUUAUGGACGAGUGCAGCAAAACGAAGAGGACAUGCAUCACCUGUGCAUUGUGAGGGGAGUGGAGAAACAGCUGUGGUGGAGCAGAGUCAUUCAGGA